rnacentral:rRNA from 1 species
AACGAACGCUGGCGGCAUGCCUAACACAUGCAAGUCGAACGAGACCUUCGGGUCUAGUGGCGCACGGGUGCGUAACGCGUGGGAACCUGCCCUUAGGUUCGGAAUAACUCCCCGAAAGGGGUGCUCAUACCGGUUAAUGUCUUCGGACCAAAGAUUUUUCGCCUUUGGGUGGGCCCGCGUUGGUUUCGCUAGUUGGUAGGGUAAAAGCCUACCAAGGCGACGAUCCAUAGCUGGUCUGAGAGGAUGACCAGCCACACUGGGACUGAGACACGGCCCAGACUCCGACGGAGGGCAGCAGUGGGGAAUAUUGGACAAUGGGGGAAAGUCUGAUCCAGCAAUGCCGCGGGAGUGAGGAAGGCCGUAGGGUUGUAAAGCUCUUUUACCCGGGAUGAGAAUGACAGUACCGGGAGAAUAAGCUCCGGCUAACUCCGUG